rfam:Brassica rapa chromosome A10, whole genome shotgun sequence.
UUUUGGCAGUGAUGACUAAUUUAUAACAGCUUGAUACGCCAGUUUUGCUUCAGAUAAUUCUUGACUGAAAAAGCUGUUUUCAUUGUCUGAGCCUGUU